CCUGCGCCUGCCGGCGACCGGCGCACGGGUGAGUAACACGUAUGGAACCUGCCCGCCACAGGGGGAUAACCCGGGGAAACCCGGCCUAAUACCCCAUGCCGCCCGGACCGGGCAUCCGGUCCGGGCGAAAGGAGGAAUCCGGUGGCGGCUGGGCAUGCGGCGCAUUAGCUUGACGGCGGGGUAACGGCCCACCGUGGCGACGAUGCGUAGGGGUUCUGAGAGGAAGGCCCCCCACACUGGUACUGAGACACGGACCAGACUCCUACGGAAGGCAGCAG
rnacentral:rRNA from 1 species